UACGUAGGCAGCGAGCGUUGUUCGGAAUUACUGGGCGUAAAGAGUGUGUAGGCGGUGUUCCAAGUCUGGUGUGAAAUCUCCCGGCUCAACUGGGAGGGUGCGCCGGAAACUGGAGUGCUAGAGGGUGGGAGAGGUAAGCGGAAUUCCUGGUGUAGCGGUGAAAUGCGUAGAUAUCAGGAGGAACACCUGUGGUGUAGACAGCUUACUGGACCACUUCUGACGCUGAGACACGAAAGCGUGGGUAGCAAACAGG
rnacentral:rRNA from 1 species